GACGAACGCUGGCGGCGUGCUUAACACAUGCAAGUCGAACGGUGAAGCGCCUUCCUUUUUGGUGGGUGUGGAUGAGUGGCGAACGGGUGAGUAACACGUGAGUAACCUGCCCCCUUCUUCUGGAUAACCGCAUGAAAGUGUGGCUAAUACGGGAUAUUCUGGGUCUGUCGCAUGAUGGGUCUGGGAAAGAUAUUGUUUCGGUGGGGGAUGGGCUCGCGGCCUAUCAGCUUGUUGGUGGGGUGAUGGCCUACCAAGGCGGUGACGGGUAGCCGGCCUGAGAGGGUGGACGGUCACACUGGGACUGAGACACGGCCCAGACUCCUACGCGAGGCAGCAGUGGGGAAUAUUGCACAAUGGGCGCAAGCCUGAUGCAGCGACGCCGCGUGAGGGAUGGAGGCCUUCGGGUUGUGAACCUCUUUCGCCAGUGAAGCAGGCCUGCCUCGUUUGUGGGUGGGUUGACGGUAGCUGGAUAAGAAGCGCCGGCUAACUACGUG
rnacentral:rRNA from 1 species